GGCCUAUUGWUUWUAAUUUUWGGUCAGACCUGCCCAAUGAUUUAAUUCAAUGGCCGCGGUAUUUUGACCGUGCAAAGGUAGCGUAAUCAUUAGUUUUUUAAUUAAAAGCUUGUAUGAAAGGUUUAAUGAAAAAAUAGCUGUCUCUAUUUAAAUUAUUUAGAAUUUUAUUUUUAAGUUAAAAAGCUUAAAUAUAUAUAGAAGACGAGAAGACCCUAUAGAGUUUAAUAGUUGUUUGUGUGGAUAAAAUUUUAGGAUUUUCUAAUUUAUUCAAGUAAUUAUUUGAUUGGGGUGAUUAAAAAAUUAGUUAAACUUUUUUUUCAUUUUUACAUUUAUUUAUGAGUUUGUGAUCCUUUAUUAAAGAUUAAAAGAUAAAAUUACCUUAGGGAUAACAGCGUAAUUUUUUUUUAAAGACCAAAUUGAAAAAAAAGAUUGCGACCUCGAUGUUGGAUUAAAAUAAAUCAUUGGUGUAGAAGCUAAUAGAUUAGGUCUGUUCGACCUUUAAAAUUUUACAUGAUCUGAGUUUAAACCGGUGUGAG
rnacentral:rRNA from 1 species